rnacentral:rRNA from 1 species
CAGUCGCCGCGGUAAUACGAAGGGGGCUAGCGUUGUUCGGAAUUACUGGGCGUAAAGGGCGCGUAGGCGGCCGAUCAAGUCAGGCGUGAAAGCCCCGGGCUUAACCUGGGAACUGCGUUUGGGACUGGUUGGCUUGAGUUCGGGAGAGGAGAGUGGAAUUCCCAGUGUAGAGGUGAAAUUCGUAGAUAUUGGGAAGAACACCGGUGGCGAAGGCGGCUCUCUGGACCGAUACUGACGCUGAGGCGCGAAAGCGUGGGGAGCAAACAGGAUUAGAUACCCCGGUAGUCCCUGUCUCUUAUAC